UACGUAGGGCGCAAGCGUUAUCCGGAAUUAUUUGGGCGUAAAGAGCUCGUAGGCGGUUUGUCGCGUCUGCCGUGAAAGUCCGGGGCUCAACUCCGGAUCUGCGGUGGGUACGGGCAGACUAGAGUGAUGUAGGGGAGACUGGAAUUCCUGGUGUAGCGGUGAAAUGCGCAGAUAUCAGGAGGAACACCGAUGGCGAAGGCAGGUCUCUGGGCAUUAACUGACGCUGAGGAGCGAAAGCGUGGGGAUCAAACAGG
rnacentral:rRNA from 1 species